rnacentral:snRNA from 1 species
CUUGCUAUUGUUUUCUUACUAUUUCACUUACCGUUUGGGAGCUGCGGUAACAUAUCUGAUACGUCCCCUACCCGGGGACCAUAUAUUAAAUUGAUUUUUGGAGCAGGGAGAUGGAAUAGGGGCUUGCUCCGUCCACUCCACGCAUCGACCUGGUAUUGCAGUACCUCCAGGAACGGUGCACCCCCC